rnacentral:rRNA from 1 species
UACGGGGGGGGCAAGCGUUGUUCGGAAUCACUGGGCGUAAAGCGCACGUAGGCGGAUUGUUAAGUCAGGGGUGAAAUCCUGGAGCUCAACUCCAGAACUGCCUUUGAUACUGGCGAUCUCGAGUCCGGGAGAGGUGAGUGGAACUGCGAGUGUAGAGGUGAAAUUCGUAGAUAUUCGCAAGAACACCAGUGGCGAAGGCGGCUCACUGGCCCGGUACUGACGCUGAGGUGCGAAAGCGUGGGGAGCAAACAGG